rnacentral:sRNA from 1 species
GAGGCUGUGAGUCUUUCCCCAGGCAUCGUCUGCCUCCCCAGUCCUGGCCAUGAAAAGGAGUGGCUCAGUUUCCCUCCCCAGGAAGACCCAGAGUGAGGGUGUGGGUUCCCAGAAUAUCUCUAAAGGUGGCUUUCCUGAACCACAUGGUUUGGCUUUCUGCAGGUGGAGGCUGCUAUUAACAGGCACCGGCCCCAGCUCCUGGUGGAACGUUACCAUUUCAACAUGGGGCUGCUGAUGGGAGAGGCUCGGGCUGUGCUCAAGUGGGCAGAUGGCAAAAUGAUCAAGAAUGAAGUGGACAUGCAGGUCCUCCACCUUCUGGGCCCCAAGAUGGAGGCUGAUCUGGAGAAGAAGCCCAAGGUGGCAAAAACUCGGCUAGAAGAAACAGACCGGAGGAUGGCAAAGGAUGUGAUGGAGAAUGGCGAGACUGCUGACCAGACCCUGUCUCUGAUGGAGCAGCUCCGUGGGGAGGCCCUUAAGUUCCACAAGCCUGGUGAGAACUACAAGACCCCAGGCUAUGUGGUCACUCCACACACCAUGAAUCUACUAAAGCAGCACCUGGAGAUUACUGGUGGGCAGGUACGUACCCGGUUCCCGCCAGAACCCAAUGGAAUCCUGCAUAUUGGACAUGCCAAAGCCAUCAAUUUCAACUUUGGCUAUGCCAAGGCCAACAAUGGCAUCUGUUUUCUGCGUUUUGAUGACACCAACCCCGAGAAGGAGGAAGCAAAGUUCUUCACUGCCAUCUGUGACAUGGUGGCCUGGCUAGGCUACACACCUUACAAAGUCACAUAUGCGUCUGACUAUUUUGACCAGUUAUAUGCGUGGGCUGUGGAGCUCAUCCGCAGGGGUCUGGCUUAUGUGUGCCACCAGCGAGGAGAGGAGCUCAAAGGCCAUAAUACUCUGCCCUCACCCUGGAGAGACCGUCCCAUGGAGGAGUCACUGCUACUCUUUGAGGCAAUGCG